AUGUACCACCUGCUGGCACUCGAUGUUACGCUCAGCAACAAGUUCUUCAUCACGCAGUUCCUGCUCGGUCUGCGGGACGAUCUUCGAGCGGCGGUGCGCCUUCAAGCGCCCACGAGCAUCACGUGUGCAUCCGUUCUGGCGUGCAUCCAAGAGGAGGAGACCGACACGCAUCGACCUCGACCGUGCAUGUUCCCGGUGGGACGACCCCCAACACCACCCAUCGCGCUGCCACCACGACCGCAGGUUGUGCCGCGACCUACUGCUGCACCGGUCGCGGUCGCCGGUGGGGACGGUUAUGCGCGUGAGCGGCAGCUCCAAGAUCACCGCCGGGCACAUGGCCUGUGUUUCAAAUGUGGUGACCGAUACUCCAGGGAGCACCGUUGCAAGCAGGCCACGCAGCUGCUCACCAUACACAUGGGAGAGCACGGGGAAGUGCUCACCGAUGAAGCAAUUCAGGCCAUGGAACUGUUAGAUGAGCCAGGCGAUGCACCAACAGAGCAAGAGUGUUGCGUGCUCUCCACCCAAGCCGUCUCCGGCGUGGAGACUCCGCAUACGAUCCGCCUCCGUGCUCUCAUGGGUAAUCAGGUCAUGCUACUCCUUGUCGAUUCAGGCAGUACACACAGUUCCAUCUCCGCGUCCUUUGCCGAUCGCAUUGCUGCAACAACAACGCCCUUGUCGCCAGUGGACGUGCGCGUUGCUAAUGGUGAAUGA
rnacentral:rRNA from 1 species